rnacentral:rRNA from 1 species
AGGACGAACGCUGGCGGCGCGUUUCACACAUGCAAGUCGAGGGACGAAACCACUUCGGUGGUGGAAACCGGCGAACGGGUGAGUAACACGUGAGGAACCCACCCUGCACACUGGGAUAACUCCGGGAAACCGGAGCUAAUACCGGAUACUCCGCGCGGACCGCAUGGUCUGCUCGGGAAAGCUCCGGCGGUGCAGGACGGCCUCGCGGCCUAUCAGGUAGUUGGUGAGGUAAUGGCUCACCAAGCCUACGACGGGUAGCUGGAGUGAGAGCUCGAUCAGCCACACUGGGACUGAGACACGGCCCAGACUCCUACGGGAGGCAGCAGUGGAGAAUCUUGCACAAGUGGGCGCAAGCCUGAUGCAGCGACGCCGCGUGAGGGAAGAGGCUUCGAGUUAGUAACUUCUUCGAGUGGUAGAAGAAGACGAAGCGACGGUAGCCAACAGAAGAAGCCUCCGGACCAACUACG